GCACCACUGCACUCCAGCGUGGAUGACAGAGCAAGACACCCUGUCUCAAAAAAAAGACUAUACAACAGAGCUCUGAAAAAGAUCACACUUUCAGGCUCAAGGAGCUCUCUUGUUCCUUCCACCAUCUGAGAACACAGUGAGAAGUCCCCAGGCUUCAACCUGAAAAAGGGCCCUCAUCAGAACCUGAUCAUCAGAACUUGGCACCCCAAUCUUUGUCUUCUGAUCUACAUUGUGACCUAAGUCAGUUAUACUCUCUUCUGCUGCCAUGUGAGAAGGCCCA
rnacentral:lncRNA from 1 species